rnacentral:lncRNA from 1 species
UUUCUUUUUCUUUAUUUUUGGUGGGCAUCUUUGGCCUCUUUUAUUUUUUUGUAUGGGCUUCGUAGGCCUCUUUUAUUUUUUUGUAAAGUCCGGAGACUCACUCCAACUUGUGAUGAAAUCAUAGCUUCCAUAAUCCUUUGCUCACACGGGACAAUGCUCUAAUAAUGCAAAUCAUCACACUUUUAUUUACUUACAACUCAAAGAUUACAACUCGAUAUCUGGAACAAAAUAUGACUCUAUAAGCAAUAUGGAAGUGAUGUUGAGUGUCAUAAAAAAACGGGACGGUGGUGUUGCAUGGCAAUAUAUUUCGGAAUGUCUAUGAAAAUGCCAUAAUAGAUAGGUAUGGUGGCUGUUUUGAGGAAAGUAUAUGGUGGCAGUUUUGAGGAAAGUGAGUUUAGUGUACCGGCGAAAGUUGUGCGGUACUAGAGAGGCUAGCAAAGGUGGAAGGGUGAGAGUGCGUAUAAUCCUGAACUCAACAUUAGUCAUAAAGAACUCACAUACUUAUUGAAAAAGCCUAUUAGUUAUCGAAGCAAAGUAUUAGAUGCAUGCUCCUAGGGGAAGAGUUGGUAGGAGUUAACCAUCGCGCGAUCCCGAC